ACAAAACUCCCACAUAAUUCAAAUGUUUCCAAUAAAAAACAUCGAUGAAUUGAAGCGACUUGAGGAAGAAAUACCAAACCUUGCAGAGUAUGAAUUGAUUAAUACCAUAACAAAAAUAUGUGAAAGGGGUGGCAUUUCCAAAAAUAUCCACAAUUUAUUUGGAAAAGACGUAUUCCUUAAUUUCAAUUACGACGGAAUACAAGGAAAAUAAUCAUUUAAAAGUUAUAAAAACGUAAAUGAUAUUUUGUAUAAAUCUGUUGCAGAAAGCGUAAUUACAUGGGACAACUAUAUUGUUGAACUUAAAAAAGGUUUCAAAAUCGCAAAGAAUCGAGUACACAAGACUACAUGCCUUGCUAA